rnacentral:rRNA from 1 species
GCGUUGUCCGGAAUCACUGGGCGUAAAGGGCGCGUAGGUGGUCUGAUAAGGGUGUGGUGAAAGUCCGGGGCUCAACCCCGGAUCUGCCGUGCCGACUGUCAGACUCGAGGACUGUAGAGGCAGGCGGAAUUCCGGGUGUAGCGGUGGAAUGCGUAGAGAUCCGGAGGAAGACCGGUGGCGAAGGCGGCCUGCUGGGCAGUUACUGACACUGAGGCGCGACAGCGUG